GACGAACGCUGGCGGCGUGCUUAACACAUGCCAGUCGAACGGAAAGGCCCUGCUUUUGUGGGGUGCUCGAGUGGCGAACGGGUGAGUAACACGUGAGUAACCUGCCCUUGACUUUGGGAUAACUUCAGGAAACUGGGGCUAAUACCGGAUAGGAGCUCCUGCUGCAUGGUGGGGGUUGGAAAGUUUCGGCGGUUGGGGAUGGACUCGCGGCUUAUCAGCUUGUUGGUGGGGUAGUGGCUUACCAAGGCUUUGACGGGUAGCCGGCCUGAGAGGGUGACCGGCGACAGGGGGACUGAGACACGGCCGAGGCUGAGAGGGGAGGCGGCAGUGGGGAAUGUGGCACAGUGGGAGGAAGCAGGGUGCAGCAGGGGCUCGGGGGGGAGGAGGGCCUGUGGGGUGUGCCCCGGUUCGGGCUGGGACGAAGGGGGAGGGCCGGAAGUGGGAAAAGAAGCACCGGCUAACGACGCGCCAGAAGCAGCGGGAAGACUCGGAAGAACAAACGUCUGAAC
rnacentral:rRNA from 1 species